GUUUUUCCCUAUAGGGUUUGGUGAUGAUCAGAACAAUGACCAAUCUCGUUCUACAAGAGGAGGGUUUAACAAUGAAAAUUUUAGCUCAAGAGGAAGAAGAGGCGGUGGCAGGGGAGGGUCUUUUCAGUCAGGGGGCAAUGAUGAUUCUGGCGGCAAUGGAUUUGGAAGAUCAGGU